rnacentral:rRNA from 1 species
AUGAUUCGCCAGUACUGGUGGGGAGUGGAGAAUGGCAAGAAGAAGAUGGCUUGGAUGAGUUGGGAUAAACCGAGGCUACCAAAGUCCAUGGGUGGCAUGGGGUUUUGUGGCAUGAGAUCCUUUAACCAGGCAUUGCUUGCUAAACAAGCAUGGCAUUUGUUGGACACGCCGGAUAGUCUUUGUGCUCGCCUGCUAAAGGCAAAAUAUUUCCCCUCCGAACAGCUGCUCGAUACGGUGUUUUCGGGCAAUGGUUCAUCAGUGUGGAAAGGUAUAUUGCAUGGCUUGGAUUUGCUCAAGAGAGGUGCAACUUGGAGGGUGGGGAACGGAGCUAACAUCCGCACCUGGAGGGAUCCAUGGAUCCCCCAACCAUCAUCAUUUCGCCCCAUCACUCCGAAGGGCACCUGUCGACUAAAAGGGUUGCUGAUUUUCUAG